AAUGUUGAUAUUUUAUUAAAAAAAUUUAUUUUACAGAAAAGGGAAACACAGGAACAGGAGAACGGUAAGAUCUUAUUCCACAUUUUUCACUUUUGUAAAUUUGUAACAUAACUUUAUUAAUGUCUAUUAAGUCUGUCUUCUAUGAAGAGUCUUAAUACGGAGUCUAAACAUUAUGCAAUAUAAAAUAUAAGGAUCAAAAGUGUAUUCAGUAGCUUGCUCCUCUGGUGUUGUGUUUCUGGUUGUGUGUGUGUCUGGUUGUGUGUGUGUAUGGUUGUGUCUGGUUGUGUGUCCGGUUGUGACCUGAGAGUACCCAGCUGCAGAGCUGCUCCACUGGGCUUCAGUCUUCAGUGAGUGUUGCUGCAUGUGGAGGCUGGCUGUAUGUCCUGACUCUCUGCUGCCUUCUCUCCCAGUGACUACACCACUAAGGUCCACUGACGGUCCUGAACCAACCAGGGACCAACAAGAAUGUACCAUAACUAUGGAGAAUCACAAUGGUGUCCAGAGUCCAGCCCGACCCUCAAGCCUCUCACAUAAUGGAUCUGUGUCGGUCUCAGUCCAUUGUGAGGACGAUCCUAUUGUUUCACCUUCUUCUGACAAAUGUACCAUCACUGUAAAUGGUCCGUCUGUCCUCUUUAAGAGGGAAAAUGGAGCCGCCUAGUCCAUCUCCAUAGUCUCUCCCAAUGCCGCGUUUCCACUGCAGGGUGCGGUACGGUUCGCCCACCCUACUCACUGUAUGUUUAUGAGUGGCGGUGGCAGGGCCCACCCUACUCACUGUAUGUUUAUGAGUGGCGGUGGCAGAGCCCACCCUACUCACUGUAUGUUUAUGAGUGGCGGUGGCAGAGCCCACCCUACUCACUGUAUGUUUAUGAGUGGCGGUGGCAGGGCCCACCCUACUCACAAAAAAUAACAAAAUAACAAGGUAGCCUACAUUUAGGGUACUGAAUGAAAAUUCUCUUUUGAGCAUCCUACAUAAAUGUAUAUAUAUAUUUUUUUUAUUGUUACUUUUUGAAAAAAAAAUAAAGAUU
ensembl:lncRNA